UUUUUAACGUAUGUAUGUAUAUAUACACAAUCAUAAGGUAUUUUCAUUUUAUAAAUACAUUAUUUUUAUAUUAUUAGUUUCCCCACUUGGUUCGAGAUACUAAAUUCAUUUUUUUUGUUGUCAAGUAGCAAUCAUUGAUGUACAGAUGUUACGUUGAGUUUCUGUUGUCAUCUGUUCAACCCUUCUCUCUCACUGUUGCUGAGCUUAAGUCUCCAAAGAGAUUGCUACGAAUGAUUUCCUGUAAUUGGAAGAAAAAAAACUGCUAAUUGAUUCAAUGGGGGACACUGAGACGAUUGUGAAACAGCUAGCACAGGGGAUGGAGUUGAUACAAGAGAUGAAAUCAAAGAUGAGUCUCAUGCAGUCAGACAUAAACGCUUUGCAAGAGACAACAAGCAGCUCUUGAAACCACCACGAAGGUUUUGGAAACAUUCACCUCUAUCCAAGGAGAAAAUCAUGCACCAAUCAAAGAAAAUUCUACAUGGCUAAAUUCAGAAUAGAGGUCACUGGUAAAAAAUUUCACAGAAGAAUUUUCUGAAGUAAAAGUAGUAAGUGAGCUUAGAAGGUAGUAAAGGUAAGAAAACACAGGUUGCUGGUGAGGGUACAAGUUGUACGCCAUUAACAUUAUUGAAAAAUGUACCCACAAGAAAUGGCGUAGUGGAUAGAGAAGAGCAAAAAAAAAAUUCUCUUCAACUGACAAUGGCCAACUCGAGAUGUUGAAAGAGAACGAUGCCAUCAAAAAGUGGAUGGAGGUGGUGAUUGGCCAGUAAGACCAAUUGGUGCAACAGUGAAUGAGUUUCACCCAAGUUACGCUCAAGUGAUUUUUGAGUGCACCAAAGAUUGAAUUGGAAGGGAGAUUAGCUACAUUGUGCCACCAUCAAAGACGGAAUUUCCGCCAUAUGAUGGUUCUACAAAUGCAGUUGAAUGGUUGCAAAAGUGUGAUGAUUAUUUUAUAGAUCAGAGAGGUUUUAAUGACGAUACCAAGGUGCGGCAAGCCACAUUUGUGUUAACAGGGCAAGCAUAUCAUUGGAACAAUAACCUUUAACGGUUGGUCACUCACAGGUUAAGUUGGGCUGAGUUCAAAAGAAUUUGUAAAUAUCGUUUCGGAAAAGCUGACUCAGUCAAUCUAGUUAGAGAACUGUCUAAUUUAAGGCACACGUGGACAGUAGAUUAAUACUGCAAUCAGUUUGAAGAAUGCUUAGGACGGCAAACAAGGCUGACUGGAGAUCAACUAUUGUGGCAGUUUUGUGUUGGACUAACAGACAAUUUUGAAGAUAUGGAAUAUGCGCGGGACAAUGAAUACAAAACUGAUGGUGAUAAGCAGAUGUGAACAUUUGGAGGGCAUCUGGAUCCACAAGCUAAACAUUCAGUCCAGCCUCAGCAAGAGGAAAAUAAACAGACUCCACAAAAACAAUAUUGGAAGAAGUUGAUUAGAGAAGAAAUGGUUGAGUAACGAACAAAAGGACUUUGUUUCAAUUGUGAUGAACCAUUUACUCGAGAACAUGUAUGUAACCCGGUUCUGUUUCAUUUAAUGUUGGUCAUGGAUUGGAGAUAAUCAAAGAUGACGAACCGUUUGACGAAGAUAACGAGGGAGAGCAUAGAGAAGCUGCUAGAAACAUGCCUAAAGUUGGAACUUGAGGACAAGCUCCUAGUCAAGAAAGAGAGUUUUAAUGAUAUGGCAUAUGGUUUUGGAAUAAGAGUUAUGGUUUUCACAAUUUUUCUGUUUUAAGUUAGAUUAAGAUUUUAGAUGUUUUAUUUUUGUAAAUGGAAGAUUUUAGA